rnacentral:rRNA from 1 species
UACGUAGGGGGCGAGCGUUGUCCGGAUUUAUUGGGCGUAAAGAGCUCGUAGGCGGCUGUUCGAGUCGGGUGUGAAAUCCUGAGGCUUAACCUUGGGUCUGCAUUCGAUACUGGGCGGCUUGAGUCUGGUAGGGGGAUCUGGAAUUCCUGGUGUAGCGGUGGAAUGCGUAGAGAUCGGGAAGAACAUCGGUGGCGAAGGCGGCCAGCUGGGCCAUUGCUGACGCUGAUGCGCGACAGCGUGGGGAGCAAACAGG